rnacentral:tRNA from 1 species
UUAGUGCAGGUGGCAUGGCAUACACAGUCCCUAGAGGACAGCAAUAACCGAAAGGUCUUGCAGCAAGGUUCGAUUCCUUGGCACUAAAC